CCUACGGGCGGCAGCAGUGGGGAAUAUUGCACAAUGGGGGAAACCCUGAUGCAGCGACGCCGCGUGAGUGAAGAAGUAUUUCGGUAUGUAAAGCUCUAUCAGCAGGGAAGAAGAAAGACGGUACCUGACUAAGAAGCCCCGGCUAACUACGUGCCAGCAGCCGCGGUAAUACGUAGGGGGCAAGCGUUAUCCGGAUUUACGGGGUGUAAAGGGAGCGUAGACGGCUGUGCAAGUCUGAAGUGAAAGCCCAGGGCUCAACCCUGGGACUGCUUUGGAAACUGUGGAGCUAGAGUGCUGGAGAGGUAAGUGGAAUUCGUAGUGUAGCGGUGAAAUGCGUAGAUAUUAGGAGGAACACCAGUGGCGAAGGCGGCUUACUGGACAGUAACUGACGUUGAGGCUCGAAAGCGUGGGGAGCGAACAGGAUUAGAUACCCGGGUAGUC
rnacentral:rRNA from 1 species